CCCUUAGAUGUCCGGGGCUGUACGCGCGCUACACUGACUGGCUCAGCGUGUGCCUACCCUACGCCGGCAGGCGCGGGUAACCCGUUGAACCCCAUUCGUGAUGGGGAUCGGGGAUUGCAAUUAUUCCCCAUGAACGAGGAAUUCCCAGUAAGUGCGGGUCAUAAGCUUGCGUUGAUUAAGUCCCUGCCCUUUGUACACACCGCCCGUCGCUACUACCGAUUGGAUGGUUUAGUGAGGCCCUCGGAUCGGCCCCGCCGGGGUCGGCCCACGGCCCUGGCGGAGCGCUGAGAAGACGGUCGAACUUGACUAUCUAGAGGAAGUAAAAGUCGUAACA
rnacentral:rRNA from 1 species